rnacentral:rRNA from 1 species
CAGGGAAUCUUCGGCAAUGGACGAAAGUCUGACCGAGCAACGCCGCGUGAGUGAAGAAGGUUUUCGGCUCGUAAAACUCUGUUGUUAGAGAAGAACAAGGACGUUAGUAACUGAACGUCCCCUGACGGUAUCUAACCAGAAAGCCACGGCUAACUACGUGCCAGCAGCCGCGGUAAUACGAAGGUGGCAAGCGUUGUCCGGAUUUAUUGGGCGUAAAGCGAGCGCAGGCGGUUUCUUAAGUCUGAUGUGAAAGCCCCCGGCUCAACCGGGGAGGGUCAUUGGAAACUGGGAGACUUGAGUGCAGAAGAGGAGGGUAGAAUUCCAUGUGUAGCGGUGAAAUGCGUAGUUAUAUGGAGGAACACCAGUGGCGAAGGCGGCUCUCUGGUCUGUAACUGACGCUGAGGCUCGAAAGCGUGGGGAGCAAACAGG